CCUACGGGAGGCAGCAGUGGGGAAUAUUGGACAAUGGGCGCAAGCCUGAUCCAGCCAUACCGCGUGGGUGAAGAAGGCCUUCGGGUUGUAAAGCCCUUUUGUUGGGAAAGAGAUCCAGCUGGCUAAUACCCGGUUGGGAUGACGGUACCCAAAGAAUAAGCACCGGCUAACUUCGUGCCAGCAGCCGCGGUAAUACGAAGGGUGCAAGCGUUACUCGGAAUUACUGGGCGUAAAGCGUGCGUAGGUGGUCGUUUAAGUCCGUUGUGAAAGCCCUGGGCUCAACCUGGGAACUGCAGUGGAUACUGGGCGACUAGAAUGUGGUAGAGGGUAGCGGAAUUCCUGGUGUAGCAGUGAAAUGCGUAGAGAUCAGGAGGAACAUCCAUGGCGAAGGCAGCUACCUGGACCAACAUUGACACUGAGGCACGAAAGCGUGGGGAGCAAACAGGAUUAGAUACCCUGGUAGUCCACGCCCUAAACGAUGCGAACUGGAUGUUGGGUGCAAUUUGGCACGCAGUAUCGAAGCUAACGCGUUAAGUUCGCCGCCUGGGGAGUACGGUCGCAAGACUGAAACUCAAAUGAAUUGACGGG
rnacentral:rRNA from 1 species